UCGGUUCGGCUGAUAAUCAGCUUCGCCCUGUUGUGUCAGCUCCUGCCGACCAACCCUCGGAUUUCUCUCUUCCGGGUAUUCUUUGUCCUCCGACCCCACCCUAAGGCCCGAGGGUGGUGGCUCUUCAACCCCCGGAAGGGUCUUUCCUUCAUCACUGGUCUUCCAUCGUCCAUCCACGGGUGGAAGAACCAGUUUUUCUUUGUUUCUUCUUCUUCU
rnacentral:lncRNA from 1 species